rnacentral:rRNA from 1 species
UCCCAGACUCCUACGGGAGGCAGCAGUGGGGAAUAUUGCACAAUGGGGGAAACCCUGAUGCAGCGACGCCGCGUGAGUGAAGAAGUGUUUCGGUAUGUAAAGCUCUAUCAGCAGGGAAGAAAAAAGACGGUACCUGACUAAGAAGCCCCGGCUAACUACGUGCCAGCAGCCGCGGUAAUACGUAGGGGGCAAGCGUUAUCCGGAAUUACUGGGUGUAAAGGGUGCGUAGGUGGCAUGGUAAGUCAGAAGUGAAAGCCCGGGGCUUAACCCCGGGACUGCUUUUGAAACUGUCAUGCUGGAGUGCAGGAGAGGUAAGCGGAAUUCCUAGUGUAGCGGUGAAAUGCGUAGAUAUUAGGAGGAACACCAGUGGCGAAGGCGGCUUACUGGACUGUCACUGACACUGAUGCACGAAAGCGUGGGGAGCAAACAGGAUUAGAUACCCCAGUAC